UAGUAUUUGAUCUGCACCAUCCGAUCGCAAUUAAAUAGAGAGUGAAUCUGGACCGUUCAUCACGAUCCAAUCUGGGUCGUCCAUAAGGAUCUAAUCUAGGCCCAUCCGAUCACGUUUGGGGGAGGGAACGCAUCUAGGCCAUUCGUGCACGCGGGAACGGAUCUUGGUCGUUCGAUCAUGGGCACGCAGAUCGCCCGCGUGGCCUCCCACGUGGCGCUGCGUCAGCGUCCACUGCCACACGGCACGUCUUGAUUGAUCGGAGCUGCUGACUGGGCGUCCCACCUGGCAGACCUUUCCUAACUUGUAAUUUGACCCCUGGUUUCUGAUUUUUCUUUUAAAAAUACCCACAAAACCCAAAUUUUCACCUUUUUUCCUAAAAUUGUUUUCAAUUUCUUCCUCCAAUUUUUACUCUAAA
rnacentral:lncRNA from 1 species